rnacentral:rRNA from 1 species
UUAAGCUAAUAAGAGCGCAGGGAGGAUGCCUUGGCAUCAGGAGCCGAAGAAGGACGUGGUAAGCUGCGAAAAGCUACGGGGAUUGGCAAGCACGAUAUGAUCCGUAGAUAUCCGAAUGGAGCAAUCCACAUGGAGUCAAGUCCAUGUAUCAUAUACUGAAUAAAUAGGUAUAUGAGGGGAACCGCCCGAACUGAAACAUCUAAGUAGGGCGAGGAAAAGAAAUCAACCGAGAUUCUGUGAGUAGUGGCGAGCGAAAGCGGAAGAGGCUAAACCGAGAGGAGCAAUCCUUUCGGGGUUUAGGACUGCAUUUAGUACAACGAUUGUUAACCGAACAGCAUGGGAAGGCUGAUCAAAGAAGGUGAGAAUCCUGUAGGUGAAAACGAAAGUUGACGAGCAGUAUCCAAAGUACCGCGGGGCACGUGAAAUCCCGUGGGAAGAUGGGGGGACCAUCCUCCAAGCCUAAAUACUACCUGAUGACCGAUAGCGAAAAGUACUGUGAAGGAAAGGUGAAAAGCACCCCGGGAGGGGAGUGAAAGAGAACCUGAAACCCUGUGCUUACAAGCACUUAGAGCACGUCAAAGUGUGAUAAGGUACCUAUUGUAGAAUGGUCCGGCGAGUUAUUGUAUGCAGCGAGGUUAAGUAGUUCAGCUACGGAGCCGAAGUGAGAGCGAGUGUUAACAGCACGUUCAGUUGCAUGCAAUAGACCCGAAACCGGGUGACCUAUCCAUGUCCAGGAUGAAGUGAGGGUAAAACCUCAUGGAGGUCCGAACCCACUCCCGUUGAAAUGGUAGGGGAUGAGGUGUGGAUAGCGGAGAAAUUCCAAUCGAACCCGGAUAUAGCUGGUUCUCCCCGAAAUAGUUUUAGGACUAGCCUCGUGAUCAAGAUUAUCGGAGGUAAAGCACUGAAUGGCCUAGGGGUCGAGAGAUUACCGAAGCCUAUCAAACUCUGAAUGCCGAAUAAUCAUGCACGGGAGUCAGACUGUGUGAGAUAAGUUUCAUAGUCGAAAGGGAAACAGCCCAGACCUACAGCUAAGGUCCCAAAGUACGUUUAAGUGGAAAACGAUGUGAAAUUGCGUAGACAACCAGGAUGUUGGCUUAGAAGCAGCCAUACAUUAAAAGAGUGCGUAAUAGCUCACUGGUCGAGUGACUUUGCGCGGAAAAUUUAACGGGGCUAAAACGUACACCGAAGCUUAGGCUUGCAACUAUGUUGCAGGGGUAGGGGAGCGUUGAAUGAGGGGUGAAGUCGUAGCGAAAGCGACGGUGGACUUCAUUCAAGUGAGAAUGCCGGAAUGAGUAGCGAGAAUUAUGUGAGAAUCAUAAUGGCCGAAAGCCUAAGGUUUUUGGAGGAAGGUUCGUCCGCUCCAAGUAAGUCGGAAGCUAAGGUGAGGCUGAAAAGCGUAGCCGAUGCACAAACGGUUGAAAUUCCGUUACCACAGAAAGAUUUAAACUAAGGGACACUUUUGAAGAGCUGAUGCCGGGUGUUGGUUACCCCGGUCGUAAGGGAACGAAAUUAAGUAGUGAAGUCAGCGUGGAUGAAGGCGAGAAAAGCUUAGUGUAUAUCUUAUGUGUCCGUACCGCAAACCGACACAGGUAGGUAGGAAGAGAAUUCUAAGGCCAACGGGAGAAGGGUAGUUAAGGAACUCGGCAAAAUGUCCCCGUAACUUCGGAAUAAGGGGAGGUUUCUACGGAAACCCGCAGAGAAUAGUCCCAGGCAACUGUUUAUCAAAAACACAGCUCUAUGCUAAAUCGAAAGAUGACGUAUAUGGGGUGACGCCUGCCCGGUGCCGGAAGGUUAAGAGGAGGAGUGAGAGCCCUGAAUCGAAGCCCCGGUAAACGGCGGCCGUAACUAUAACGGUCCUAAGGUAGCGAAAUUCCUUGUCAGGUAAGUUCUGACCCGCACGAAUGGCGUAAUGAUCUGGGAGCUGUCUCGACUGCCCGCCCGGCGAAAUUGUAGUACCGGUGAAGAUGCCGGUUACCCGCGACUAGACGGAAAGACCCCAUGGAGCUUUACUGUAGCUUAAUAUUGGAUUUCGGCAUUUCAUGUACAGGAUAGGUGGGAGACUAGGAAACAUAGGCGUCAGCUUAUGCGGAGUCGUCCUUGGGAUACCACUCUUGGAGUGCUGAAAUUCUAACCUGCAGCCCUGAAUCGGGUUGGGGGACAUUGUUAGGUGGGCAGUUUGACUGGGGCGGUCGCCUCCAAAAAGGUAACGGAGGCGCUCAAAGGU